UACGGAGGGUGCGAGCGUUGUCCGGAAUCACUGGGCGUAAAGGGCGCGUAUGGUGGCCGUGUGGAAGUCUGCGGUGAAAGUCCGGCGGCUCAACGCCGGAUCGGCCGUGGAUACUCUCGGGCUUGAGCUUACUAGAGGCAGAUGGAAUUCCGGGUGUAGCGGUGGAAUGCGUAGAGAUCCGGAAGAACACCGGUGGCGAAGGCGGUCUGCUGGGCAGUUGGCUGACACUGAGGCGCGACAGCGUGGGGAGCGAACAGG
rnacentral:rRNA from 1 species